GGAGGGAGCGCCGGAUCUUGGGCUGUGUCCCCAGUGCCCUCGGCUCCGGGGCCUGAGCCACUGGAAUCAUGCUCCCGGGCCGCGCAGCCCCCU
rnacentral:pre_miRNA from 1 species